rnacentral:rRNA from 1 species
UACGUAGGGUGCAAGCGUUGUUCGGAAUCAUUGGGCGUAAAGCGCGUGUAGGCGGUAAGCUAAGUUUGGUGUGAAAGCCCGGGGCUUAACCUCGGAAGGGCACUGGAUACUGGCUUACUAGAGGACGGGAGAGGAUGGUGGAAUUCCUGGUGUAGGGGUGAAAUCCGUAGAUAUCAGGAGGAACAUCUGUAGCGAAGGCGGCCAUCUGGUCCGUUUCUGACGCUGAGACGCGAAAGCGUGGGUAGCAAACAGG